GACGAACGCUGGCGGCGUGCUUAACACAUGCAAGUCGAACGGUAAGGCCCUUCGGGGUACACGAGUGGCGAACGGGUGAGUAACACGUGGGUGAUCUGCCCUGCACUUCGGGAUAAGCCUGGGAAACUGGGUCUAAUACCGGAUAGGACCACUGCCUGCAUGGGUGGUGGUGGAAAGCUUUUGCGGUGUGGGAUGGGCCCGCAGCCUAUCAGCUUGUUGGUGGGGUGAUGGCCUACCAAGGCGACGACGGGUAGCCGGCCUGAGAGGGUGACCGGCCACACGGGGACUGAGAGACGGCCCAGACUCCUACGGGAGGCAGCAGUGGGGAAUAUUGCACAAUGGGCGCAAGCCUGAUGCAGCGACGCCGCGUGAGGGAUGACGGCCUUCGGGUUGUAAACCUCUUUCAGCACCGACGAAGCGCAAGUGACGGUAGGUGCAGAAGAAGGACCGGCCAACUACGUGCCAGCAGCCGCCGUAA
rnacentral:rRNA from 1 species